CCGAAUGGGGAAACCCAGUGUGACUCGUCACACUAUCAUUAACUGAAUCCAUAGGUUAAUGAGGCGAACCGGGGGAACUGAAACAUCUAAGUACCCCGAGGAAAAGAAAUCAACCGAGAUUCCCCCAGUAGCGGCGAGCGAACGGGGAGGAGCCCAGAGCCUGAAUCAGCAUGUGUGUUAGUGGAAGCGUCUGGAAAGGCGCGCGAUACAGGGUGACAGCCCCGUACACAAAAGCGCAUGUGCUGUGAGCUCGAUGAGUAGGGCGGGACACGUGGUAUCCUGUCUGAAUAUGGGGGGACCAUCCUCCAAGGCUAAAUACUCCUGACUGACCGAUAGUGAACCAGUACCGUGAGGGAAAGGCGAAAAGAACCCCGGCGAGGGGAGUGAAAAAGAACCUGAAACCGUGUACGUACAAGCAGUGGGAGCCCCACCACUAAGCCAGUGGUGAACUCCACAUACGCAUCCUUUGCUGAGGAUGCGGUUAACGGAGCGAAAGCGACGUUCAACCGCAAAAGAAGCAGAGGGGGCUUAGUGGUGGGGUGACUGCGUACCUUUUGUAUAAUGGGUCAGCGACUUAUAUUCUGUAGCAAGGUUAACCGAAUAGGGGAGCCGGAGGGAAACCGAGUCUUAAUUGGGCGUUAAGUUGCAGGGUAUAGACCCGAAACCCGGUGAUCUAGCCAUGGGCAGGUUGAAGGUUGGGUAACACUAACUGGAGGACCGAACCGACUAAUGUUGAAAAAUUAGCGGAUGACCUGUGGCUGGGGGUGAAAGGCCAAUCAAACCGGGAGAUAGCUGGUUCUCCCCGAAAGCUAUUUAGGUAGCGCCUCGUGAAUUC
rnacentral:rRNA from 1 species